UGGUAAAGUCAUAUUAGAAUAGGCCCUCUAGUUUAAGUGGUAAGGUAUUAGCUUUCUUGAAGGUCUUAUGUUCGAAUCCUCACGUGAGCGUGGAUGAUAAUUUUUGCUUCGGUUGUCUGAUAGAAGUUCGGUGGAAGUGAAAUUCUGAGGUAGUUAAAAGUUAGUGGGUCGAUUUAGUAGAUUUAGUGGUUAGUGGAAUGUUAGGAUAGAUUUGAAUUUUCUUUUUUUAAAUUUUUAUUCUUUUUCUCUCUCUUCUCUACUUUUUCGACGUUCUAUUUUUCCCCUCUUUAUAACUUUUGUUCCUCUUUCGUUUUCCUUUAAUUUUGUUCAUAACCCGUUGAUUCUUAUUAUUGCUAUCGUAAUUUUCAGUACUUCUCGCGUGGUUAAGGUAAGUGGGGUUUCAUUAGUUGUAGUUUUUGACUUCUGUAAGACUGUUUCAUUCUUUUUGU
rnacentral:lncRNA from 1 species